GAUGAACGCUGGCGGCGUGCUUAACACAUGCAAGUCGAACGAAGCACUUUGGACAGAUUCUUCGGAUGAAGUCCAUGGUGACUGAGUGGCGGACGGGUGAGUAACGCGUGGGUAACCUGCCUCAUACAGGGGGAUAACAGUUAGAAAUGGCUGCUAAUACCGCAUAAGCGCACGGUACUGCAUGGUACAGUGUGAAAAACUCCGGUGGUAUGAGAUGGACCCGCGUUGGAUUAGCUAGUUGGCAGGGUAACGGCCUACCAAGGCGACGAUCCAUAGCCGGCCUGAGAGGGUGGACGGCCACAUUGGGACUGAGACACGGCCCAGACUCCUACGGGAGGCAGCAGUGGGGAAUAUUGCACAAUGGGGGAAACCCUGAUGCAGCGACGCCGCGUGAGCGAAGAAGUAUUUCGGUAUGUAAAGCUCUAUCAGCAGGGAAGA
rnacentral:rRNA from 1 species